CCUGUGAUAGCUCAGUUGGUAGAGCGGAGGACUGUAGAUCCUUAGGUCGCUGGUUCGAAUCCGGCUCGACGGAU
rnacentral:tRNA from 1 species